rnacentral:rRNA from 1 species
UACAGAGGUCCCAAGCGUUGUUCGGAUUCAUUGGGCGUAAAGGGUGCGUAGGCGGCGCGGUAAGUCGGGUGUGAAAUCUCGGGGCUUAACUCCGAAACUGCAUUCGAUACUGCCGUGCUUGAGGACUGGAGAGGAGACUGGAAUUUACGGUGUAGCGGUGAAAUGCGUAGAUAUCGGGAGGAACACCAGUGGCGAAGGCGGUUGCCUGGAGCUUUGCUGACGCUGAGGCGCGAAAGCGUGGGGAGCGAUCCGG